rnacentral:rRNA from 1 species
UACGUAGGGUGCGAGCGUUGUCCGGAUUUAUUGGGGUUUAAAGGGUGCGUAGGCGGUUCUUAAGUCUGGGGUGAAAGCCCGUUGCUCAACAACGGAACUGCCCUGGAAACUGGAGGACUUGAGUACAGACGAGGGUGGCGGAAUGGAUGCUGUAGCGGUGAAAUGCAUAGAUAGCAUCCAGAACCCCGAUUGCGAAGCAGCUGCCUAGACUGUAACUGACGCUGAGGCACGAAAGCGUGGGGAGCGAACAGGA